UUAGGUCUAACUUCUUUAAGACAUACAACUAUCGGGAAACACAUAAUGAAGCAGUUGGCGGAUUUGUAGGCUACGAUAGAACAAAAUAACAUUUUCCACGAUAAGAGCACAAAUUUUACGCUUUUACGUGCUAAUUGGGUCCUAAGCUGUAAUAUGUAGCGCUACAACUAACCAACCAACAACUGACGUGGGUAACGGGUAUUUCCCGGCUGCAGACCCAUAUGAACACCAUGGGAGUAGUGCAGAUGAUUCCUAUCGUUACUUCGACAUGACGAUGUUAUUACGAGAAGAAAGACUCAGCCAGAGGCUAAGCACAUUCAUUCUCAGCCGCCCGCCAAACUGCUGGGUUUCAUUAGAGCACCAGAGCCUGGCGAGGUCUUGUGAUGGGCUCUGAGGGCGUAGUACUAUUUAUAUUCAAGUUCGCAGUGCACAUCCUCUAACAAAUCUAUUAUAUUCUAAGUAUUACUAUUACUAUUAGAACGCUUCAAAGCGUCUACACAGGAGUCUUUGUUUUAAAUAUUCCACUUCUGAGUUAUUGAAAGAUAUAAUUCAUUUGAUUAAAUGAUCGUUGCAUUAUUUUACUACACGAAAGCACAUGUUCUCCAGUAUGAAUAGAUGCCAAGGGUUUCGCCGCUUUUUGGCCAAAUAAAUUGUCGUAAAAUCAUUGUAUAGUAAACUUAGAAAAAUGAAGUUUAGUAGAACUUGAAGAAGUUGUAAGAAAACGAAGUAAUCUUUUGGAAGCUGUAUAAGAAUAUAAUGGGUAUGCAUGUAAACAUAAACUUGAAGUGCAAUCUUUAAAAGUAGUUGUGGGAUAUACAUAGUAUGUAUUUAUACCAUGUAAACGUAUGCGUCAAUCUAAUAUGUAUUUAUAUUAUGUAAACGUAUGAAAUCGGUCGAUCGUUAGAAUCGACCUUUUUUGAAUUGGAUAAAUUUUUGUCAGAACAUUUCUUUUAUCGUAAAACGAAAUUCUGCCACUGCAUA